rnacentral:rRNA from 1 species
AAGCUAGCGGCAGACUAACACAUGCAAGUCGAGGGGUAGAGGAAGCUUGCUUCCUUGAGACCGGCGCACGGGUGCGUAACGCGUAUGCAAUCUACCUUGUACAGGGGGAUAGCCCAGAGAAAUUUGGAUUAAUACCCCAUAGUAUAUAACCUUCGCAUGUUGGUUAUAUUAAAGUUCCAACGGUACAAGAUGAGCAUGCGUCCCAUUAGUUAGUUGGUAAGGUAACGGCUUACCAAGACGAUGAUGGGUAGGGGUCCUGAGAGGGAGAUCCCCCACACUGGUACUGAGACACGGACCAGACUCCUACGGGAGGCAGCAGUGAGGAAUAUUGGGCAAUGGAGGCAACUCUGACCCAGCCAUGCCGCGUGCAGGAAGACGGUCCUAUGGAUUGUAAACUGCUUUUAUACAGGAAGAAACACCGCUACGUGUAGCGGCUUGACGGUACUGUAGGAAUAAGGAUCGGCUAACUCCGUGCCAGCAGCCGCGGUAAUACGGAGGAUCCAAGCGUUAUCCGGAAUCAUUGGGUUUAAAGGGUCCGUAGGCGGCCUUAUAAGUCAGUGGUGAAAUCUCCUAGCUCAACUAGGAAACUGCCAUUGAUACUGUAGGGCUUGAAUUAUUGUGAAGUAACUAGAAUAUGUAGUGUAGCGGUGAAAUGCUUAGAUAUUACAUGGAAUACCAAUUGCGAAGGCAGGUUACUAACAAUUGAUUGACGCUGAUGGACGAAAGCGUGGGGAGCGAACAGGAUUAGAUACCCCUGGUAGUCCACGCCGUAAACGAUGGAUACUAGCUGUUCGGACGCAAGUUUGAGUGGUUAAGCGAAAGUGAUAAGUAUCCCACCUGGGGAGUACGCACGCAAGUGUGAAACUCAAAUGAAUUGACGGAAGGGCGAAUUCUGC